rnacentral:rRNA from 1 species
UACGGAGGAUGCAAGCGUUAUCCGGAUUCAUUGGGUUUAAAGGGUGUGUAGGCGGGUCAUUAAGUCAGUGGUGAAAUCCUAUAGCUUAACUAUAGAACUGCCAUUGAAACUGACGAUCUUGAAUGCAGUUGAGGUAGGCGGAAUGUGCAGUGUAGCGGUGAAAUGCUUAGAUAUUGCACAGAACACCGAUUGCGAAGGCAGCUUACUAAACUGUGAUUGACGCUGAGACACGAAAGCGUGGGGAU